UCUUCUGACUUUGAGAAAGCACCAUGGAACAAAUGGGGAUAAAAUUAGUGUUCUUAUUUUUUGUUCUCAUCAUUGGCUGUUACUGUGAAGGACCUAUUCUGGAAACAAAGAUUGGGACAAUUCAAGGUAUACAACGUGAAAAGACAUUCAGGAAUAAAACAUACACCGUCAACGCUUACUUAGGAAUUCCUUAUGCUAAGCCACCAGUUGGAGAACUCAGGUUCAAACGCCCGGUUCCAUAUGGGGAUCUCGCAUCACCAUUUAACGCUUCUGACUUCGGAUCCUCUUGUCCACAAAUUGAAUAUCCACCAUUUGCAAAGUAUUCUGUCAAUGAGGACUGUCUUUUUCUAAACGUUUACGUUCCUGCUACCGCUUCGGAUCGCCUUGAAGGGCACGCCAUUAUGAUCUGGAUUCACGGAGGAGGACUUAAUUACGGGGCUGGUCAACUCUCUGUCGUUGAAGUUCUAGCAGCGUAUGGAAACGUUAUAGCUGUGACCAUCAAUUAUAGGCUAGGCGUUUUUGGUUUUCUGAAUAUCGGAGACGAACGCGCCCAGGGUAAUAUGGGACUAUGGGAUCAACGCCAGGCUAUGAUCUGGGUAAAGGAGAAUAUUGGGAGUUUCGGAGGGGAUGUUGACAGAAUUACUAUAUUCGGAGAAUCUGCUGGAGCCGUGAGUGUAAACAUUCAUAGUAUGUAUCCGUCGAAAGAAGGUUUAUUUCAGCAGGCCAUUUCUCAGAGUGGGGCCGCUAGGUCUAAAUUCGGGUCCGCUGCUCCUCAAGCCGCUUUAGCGGAGUAUUUAGGGUGUUAUCCGAGCACAGCAGAUGAGGUUUUCGAUUGUUUGAACAACACUAAAGCUGAAGAUGUUAUAAAGUUCAGCUACAAUUUAUUACGGACAUUAGCAAAUAUGAAGAAAUCUCAUUUAAGGAAACGAUUGACGGCGAAAUAAUCAAGCGGUUUCACCUUGACACAGUUCAAGAUGACAUAAAAAAUCGUCAAAACGAUGAAGUCGAAUUCAUGCAGUCUUUAAGAUAUAUGAACGGUGUGAACGGUAACGAAGGACUUUCAACCUUUCUUGAGAUCUUAAACGCUCCACUCAACGACAUGAUCGUAACCAAAGAAAUGAUGGACAAUGAUUAUAUACCAAAAUAUCUCCCAUAUAUGUACCCUGCUCAGGAAGUACCCCACGAUGUUCAGAAAGUAAUCGCCCAUGAAUAUACCAACUGGGUUGACCCAGAAGACGCGACACGAAUGUUUGUCAAGUACGCUGGAGAUGUUACGUAUAACGUAGAUAGUAUGCACCUGCGAACACUUCGCGCUGAUGGCGAGGGGUCAAGGACGUGGGUAUACAGUUUUGAAGCAAACAUUGAUCAACAUCUUUUACAGACAGCUGAUUGGGCGACAACAGCCAAUCAUGGAGAUGAACUAGCACCUCUGUUUGGUUACCAGAUAGAUUAUAAGAAGGCAUUCAACAUGGACGACUAUCAACCGCCUGCUUGGGAACUCGACCUCUCUGAACGCAUGAUGACCUUCUGGACAAACUUUGCAAAACACGGAAAUCCCUCUGGGAACGACUCAAUCACGUGGCCGGAGUACGAGCAAGACUCCAUGCGCCAUCUUGUACUGGAUAGGACCGACUCUAUAGGAACACGACAAUUUGCCAGGGAAGUUGCAUUUUGGCGGGAACUCGUUCCAGACAUGAUGGCGGCCAAUGAAGCUUGCACCAAAGACAAGGGACCAGGGGAUAUGAUCGCAUCAAGUGCUAAUAGUGCGGUGAAAUAUUUCGGCUUAUAUAUUACCAUUAGUUUUGCAACCCUCCUGCUAAUGUGAGUUGUUUUAAUGGAUAAUUUUGACGAGGUUCAUGGUUUGCGUGUCAAAAUGUACACGCAACUCGCAAAGAUUACGUGAUGUGCAUGCUUCCAAUGACAAUUGGUAAUCUAGUUAUAAUUUGCGCAUUCCAAUAAUUUACGUAUAUACUAGUAUAUAGGGUAACUUUUCGAAAGAAACCCCCGUUAAGUAGAGCGUUUAUAAAUUUAGUCAUCGUGAUUAAUGAGAACCAAAAAUAGACAAGUCGAGAACGUCCUAGAAACUAUAUCUAUAAACAUGCACGUAUCUAUAAAUAACUAGUAGCUAGGAUCCCAAAAACAUUAAGAAAAUUAAGUUUCGUCAACGCCCAACAGCUACAUCGAUAAUGGCACAAAUUUAGUACACAGUGCGUUUGUUAGUAUAUAAAAAGUGCUAAAACUUUCUAAGCAUACCAGAUAGAACUUUACUUUAAUAAUUUCAUAUGAUUAGCUGUACGAUGUGAGUUUAUUAGUAUUUCUUAUCAAGCAAAGGAACAUUUUGAAUUUGUCGCUGAUUUAGCAGCCCGUAUUUAGAUUCAUCAAGAUUUUGCUACGUGUUCACUGCAUUAGGAAAGCAAAGAAAAAUCACGUGCCUUGUUAAAUUAUCUAUGUAUGUUUUCACCGUUUUCUUAAGAUAUUACGUAAUAGGUAUCUAGUUCAGUGUGAGUGAUGAGUAUCUGGGAUCCCACGGACGAUUAAAGGCACUUAUUCGAUCAUUAUUUGAGAAUUUCAUUGUUUCGUUUGACUAGUUAUAAAUACGUUCGGAAAUAAAUAUGACUUUUUAAGUUUAAAACAAUUUCCUUAGCACAACUGUUAUAAGACAUAUUGUUAUGUACCAGUCAAUUGUAACCACGUACCCCCCCCCCCCCCACCAUGUAUGGGGAUAUACCGGUAAUAGCCAGGGAAAUGGGCCGUUUUUUACACUCCAGGUGGCCUCGCAGUGCCGGGUGAAAUGCGGUGGUUUUGUCUUCGCGCAAAAAUAGCGGAGAGUGGGCUCUACCCAGGGUCCAUAGGGUGCGGGGUCAUUUGGCGGGGAUUUUACCAGCCGGGCUGUCUCCGCACCGGACCUGGGGGGCGUGGUAACAAUUGACUGGUGAAUAGCGGUCCGCCGUGUAGGCGGAUGUGCGUUCAUAGUAUAACAUUCCGUUAAAGGUGCAUGUACGUUCAUAGAACGUUGAUGUACUUCGUGUGGAUUGAGAAUUUACUAUAUAUGAAGAUCAGUGGACCCCUUCAAGGUCGAGCAUGCUUUUCU